GAAGGGGGCUAGCGUUGUUCGGAUUUACUGGGCGUAAAGCGCACGUAGGCGGAUCGUUAAGUCGGGGGUGAAAUCCUGGAGCUCAACUCCAGAACUGCCUUCGAUACUGGCGAUCUUGAGUCCGGAAGAGGUGAGUGGAACUCCUAGUGUAGAGGUGGAAUUCGUAGAUAUUAGGAGGAACACCAGUGGCGAAGGCGGCCUGCUGGACGACAACUGACGCUGAGGCGCGAAAGCGUGGGGAGCAAACAGGAUUAGAUACCCUGGUAGUCCACGCCCUAAACGAUGUCUACUAGUUGUCGGGACUUAAUUGUCUUGGUAACGCAGCUAACGCGUGAAGUAGACCGCCUGGGGAGU
rnacentral:rRNA from 1 species